rnacentral:rRNA from 1 species
GAUAGCCUGAACCAGCCAAGUCGCGUGAAGGAAGACAGUCCAAGAUUGUAAACUUCUUUUAUACGGGAAUAACGGGCGAUACGAGUAUUGCAUUGAAUGUACCGUAAGAAUAAGCAUCGGCUAACUCCGUGCCAGCAGCCGCGGUAAUACGGAGGAUGCGAGCGUUAUCCGGAUUUAUUGGGUUUAAAGGGUGCGUAAGGUUGUUCGGUAAGUCAGCGGUGAAACCUGAGCGCUCAACGUUCAGCCUGCCGUUGAAACUGCCGGGCUUGAGUUCAGUGGCGGCAGGCGGAAUUCGUGGUGUAGCGGUGAAAUGCAUAUAUAUCACGAGGAACUCCGAUUGCGAAGGCAGCUUGCCAUACUGCGACUGACACUGAAGCACGAAGGCGUGGGUAUCAAACAGGAUUAGAUACCCUGGUAGUCCACGCAGUAAACGAUGAUACUAGAGUUGCGAUAUACCGUCAGCUUCCACAGCGAAGCGUCACUUAAUCCACCUGGGGGAAUACGCCCGGCUA